AAUAAGCGCCCGAAGGUCGUGGUGCCAAACCCCCCAGCGGAAAAAUGGCCAAAAAACGGGUGGGCUAUAGCCUUGGUGGGGGGCGCGGGCGAAGUUCGUCCGCCGGACUCGGAAUGGGACGAGACUUUGCGAGGGGCCUCGGGGCACCAAAAAUAAGCCGCGGUCAAAGCCGCGCCCAAAAAUAAGCCCCCGAAGGUCGUGGUACCAAAACCCCCCAGCGGAAAAAUGGCCAAAAAACGGGUGGGCUAUAGCCUUGGUGGGGGGCGCGGGCGAAGUUCGUCCGCCGGACUCGGAAUGGGGCGAGACUUUGCGAGGGGCCUCGGGGUGCCCGCGGGAAGUCGCGGACACAGCCACGCUCAAAAAUAAGCGCCCGAAGGUCGUGGUGCCAAAACCCCCCAGCGGAAAAAUGGCCAAAAAACGGGUGGGCUAUAGCCUUGGUGGGGGGCGCGGGCGAAGUUCGUCCGCCGGACUCGGAAUGGGGUGAGACUUUGCGAGGGGCCUCGGGGUGCCAAAAAUAAGCCGCGGGCAAAGCCGCGCCCAAAAAUAAGCGCCCGAAGGUCGUGGUGCCAAAACCCCCCAGCGGAAAAAUGGCCAAAAAACGGGUGGGCUAUAGCCUUGGUGGGGGGCGCGGGCGAAGUUCGUCCGCCGGACUCGGAAUGGGGCGAGACUUUGCGAGGGGCCUCGGGGUGCCCGCGGGAAGUCGCGGACACAGCCACGCUCAAAAAUAAGCGCCCGAAGGUCGUGGUGCCCAAACCCCCCAGCGGAAAAAUGGCCAAAAAACGGGUGGGCUAUACGCCUUGGUGGGGGGCGCGGGCGAAGUUCGUCCGCCGGACUUUGAAUGGGGCGUGAUUUUGCGAGGGGUCUCGGGGUGCCCGCGGGAACUCGCGGGCACAGCCGCGUCCAGAAAUAAGCGCCCGAAGGUCGUGGUGCCAAAACCCCCCAGCGGAAAAAUGGCCAAAAAACGGGUGGGCUAUAGCCUUGGUGGGGGGCAUGGGCGAAGUUCGUCUGCCGGACUCGGAAUGGGGCGAGACUUUGCGAGGGGCCUCGGGGUGCCAAAAAUAAGCCGCGGGGAAAGCCGCGCCCAAAAAUAAGCGCCCAAAGGUCGUGGUGCCAAAACCCCCCAGCGGAAAAAUGGCCAAAAAACGGGUGGGCUAUAGCCUUGGUGGGGGGCGCGGGCGAAGUUCGUCCGCCGGACUCGGAAUGGGACGAGACUUUGCGAGGGGCCUCGGGGCACCAAAAUUAAGCCGCGGGCAAAGCCGCGCCCAAAAAUAAGCGCCCAAAAGUUGUGGUGCCAAAACCCCCCAGCGGAAAAAUGGCCAAAAAACGGGUGGGCUAUAGCCUUGGUGGGGGGCGCGGGCGAAGUUCGUCCGCCGGACUCGGAAUGGGCGAGACUUUGCGCGGGGCCUCGGGGCGCCAAAAAUAAGCCACGGGCAAAGCCGCACCCAAAAAUAAGCGCCCGAAGGUCGUGGUGCCAAAACCCCCCAGCGGAAAAAUGGCCAAAAAACGGGUGGGCUAUAGCCUUGGUGGGGGGCGCGGGCGAAGUUCGUCAGCCGGACUCGGAAUGGGGCGAGACUUUGCGAGUGGCCUCGGGGUGCCAAAAAUAAGCCACAGAAAAGGCCGCGCCCAAAAAUAAGCGCCCGAAGGUCGUGGUGCCAAAACCCCCCAGCGGAAAAAUGGCCAAAAAACGGGUGGGCUAUAGCCUUGGUGGGGGGCGCGGGCGAAGUUCGUCAGCCGGACUCGGAAUGGGGCGAGACUUUGCGAGGGGCCUCGGGGUGCGCGCGGGAAGUCGCGGACACAGCCGCGCCCAAAAAUAAGCGCCCGAAGGUCGUGGUGCCAAAACUCCCCAGCGGAAAAAUGGCCAAAAAACGGGUGGGCUAUAGCCUUGGUGGGGGGCGCGGGCGAAGUUCGUCCGCCGGACUCGGAACGGGGCGAGACUUUGCGAGGGGCCUCGGGGUGCCAAAAAUAAGCCGCGGGGAAAGCCGCGCCCAAAAAUAAGCGCCCAAAGGUCGUGGUGCCAAAACCCCCCAGCGGAAAAAUGGCCAAAAAACGGGUGGGCUAUAGCCUUGGUGGGGGGCGCGGGCGAAGUUCGUCCGCCGGACUCGGAAUGGGACGAGACUUUGCGAGGGGCCUCGGGGCACCAAAAUUAAGCCGCGGGCAAAGCCGCGCCCAAAAAUAAGCGCCCAAAAGUUAUGGUGCCAAAACCCCCCAGCGGAAAAAUGGCCAAAAAACGGGUGGGCUAUAGCCUUGGUGGGGGGCGCGGGCGAAGUUCUUCCGCUGGACUCGGAAUGGGACGAGACUUUGCGAGAGGCCUCGGGGCGCCAAAAAUAAGCCGCGGGCAAAGCCGUGCCCAAAAAUAAGCGCCCGAAGGUCGUGGUGCCAAAACCCCCCAGCGGAAAAAUGGCCAAAAAACGGGUGGGCUAUAGCCUUGGUGGGGGGCGCGGGCGAAGUUCGUCCGCCGGACUCGGAAUGGGGCGAGACUUUGCAAGGGGCCUCGGGGUGCCCGCGGGAAGUCGCAGGCACAGACGCGUCCAGAAAUAAGCGCCCGAAGGUCGUGGUGCCAAAACCCCCCAGCGGAAAAAUGGCCAAAAAACGGGUGGGCUAUAGCCUUGGUGGGGGGCGCAGGCGAAGUUCGUCCGCCGGACUCGGAAUGGGAUGAGACUUUGCGAGGGGCCUCGGGGCACCAAAAAUAAGACGCGGGCAAAGCCGUACCCAAAAAUAAGCGCCCGAAGGUCGUGGUGCCAAAACCCCCCAGCGGAAAAAUGGCCAAAAAACGGGUGGGCUAUAGCCUUGGUGGGGGAGGCGGGCAAAGUUCGUCCGCCGGACUCGGAAUGGGGUGAGACUUUGCGCGGGGCCUCGCGGUGCCAAAAAUAAGCCGCGGGCAAAGCCGCGCCCAAAAAUAAGCGCCCGAAGGUCGUGGUGCCAAAACCCCCCAGCGGAAAAAUGGCCAAAAAACGGGUGGGCUAUAGCCUUGGUGGGGGGCGCGGGCAAAGUUCGUCCGCCGGACUCGUAAUGGGGCGAGACUUUGCGACGGGCCUCGGGGUGCCCGCGGGAAGUCGCGGGCACAGCCGCGUCCAAAAAUAAGCGCCCGAAGGUCGUGGUGCCAAAACUCCCCAGCGGAAAAAUGGCCAAAAAACGGGUGGGCUAUAGCCUUAGUGGGGGGCGCGGGCGAAGUUCGUCAGCCGGACUCGGAAUGGGGCGAGACUUUGCGAGGGGCCUCGGGGUGCCAAAAAUAAGCCACGGAAAAGGCCGCGCCCAAAAAUAAGCGCGCGAAGGUCGUGGUGCCAAAACCCCCCAGCGGAAAAAUGGCCAAAAAACGGGUGGGCUAUAGCCAUGGUGGGGGGCGCGGGCGAAGUUCGUCCGCCGGACUUGGAAUGGGGCGAGACUUUGCGAGGGGCCUCGGGGUGCCCGCGGGAAGUCGCGGGCACAGCCGCGUCCAGAAAUAAGCGCCCGAAGGUCGUGGUGCCAAAACCCCCCAGCGGAAAAAUGGCCAAAAAACGGGUGGGCUAUAGCCUUGGUGGGGGGCGCGGGCGAAGUUCGUCCGCCGGACUCGGAAUGGGGCGAGACUUUGUGCGGGGCCUCGGGGCGCCAAAAAUAAGCCGCG
rnacentral:lncRNA from 1 species